UACGGGGGAGCAAGCGUUGUUCGGAUUUACUGGGCGUAAAGGGCGCGUAGGCGGUCAGCACAAGUCAGUUGUGAAAUCUCCGGGCUUAACUCGGAAAGGUCAACUGAUACUGUGCGACUAGAGUGCAGAAGGGGCAACUGGAAUUCUCGGUGUAGCGGUGAAAUGCGUAGAUAUCGGGAGGAACACCGGUGGCGAAGGCGGCUCACUGGCCUCAUUUCUGACGCUCAGGCGGCGACAGCGUGGGGAUCGAAACAAGG
rnacentral:rRNA from 1 species